GUAAGGGCUCACCAAGGCGACGAUGCGUAGCCGACCUGAGAGGGUGAUCGGCCACAUUGGAACUGAGACACGGCCCAAACUCCUACGGGAGGCAGCAGUGGGGAAUAUUGCACAAUGGGGGAAACCCUGAUGCAGCGACGCCGCGUGGGUGAAGAAGUUUUUCGGAAUGUAAAGCCCUAUCAGCAGGGAAGAUAAUGACGGUACCUGACUAAGAAGCCCCGGCUAACUAC
rnacentral:rRNA from 1 species